rnacentral:rRNA from 1 species
GACGAACGCUGGCGGCGUGCUUAACACAUGCAAGUCGAACGGAAAGGCCUGCUUUCCCUUGUGGAUUGCGGGUACUCGAGUGGCGAACGGGCGAGUAACACGUGAGUGAUCUGCCCCCAACUUGGGUAUAGGCCUGGGAAACUGGGCCUAAUUCCCGAUAGGACUGCAGGGUGGUGCCUGUGGUGGAAAACGAUUUUCUAGUGGUUGGGGAUGAGCUCGCGGCCUAUCAGCUUGUUGGUGGGGUAAUGGCCUACCAAGGCGGCGACGGGUAGCCGGCCUGAGGAGGUGGACGGCCACAUUGGGACUGAGGUACGGCCCAGACUCCUACGGGAGGCAGCAGUGGGGAAUAUAGCGCAAUGGGCGGAAGCCUGAUGCAGCGACGCCGCGUGGGAGAUGACGGCCUUCGGGUAGUAAACUCCUUUCGACAGCGAGGAAGCCACCUGGUUGGAAGGGUGGUGACGGUAGUGGUAGAAGAAGCACCGGCUAACUACGUG